AGACUGGGAUAACUUCGGGAAACCGGAGCUAAUACCGGAUAACAUUUGGAACCGCAUGGUUCUAAAGUGAAAGAUGGUUUUGCUAUCACUUAUAGAUGGACCCGCGCCGUAUUAGCUAGUUGGUAAGGUAACGGCUUACCAAGGCAACGAUACGUAGCCGACCUGAGAGGGUGAUCGGCCACACUGGAACUGAGACACGGUCCAGACUCCUACGGGAGGCAGCAGUAGGGAAUCUUCCGCAAUGGGCGAAAGCCUGACGGAGCAACGCCGCGUGAGUGAUGAAGGGUUUCGGCUCGUAAAACUCUGUUAUUAGGGAAGAACAAAUGUGUAAGUAACUGUGCACAUCUUGACGGUACCUAAUCAGAAAGCCACGGCUAACUACGUGCCAGCAGCCGCGGUAAUACGUAGUGGCAAGCGUUAUCCGGAAUUAUUGGUCCGUAAAGCGCGCGUAGCGGUCUCUCAAGUCUGAUG
rnacentral:rRNA from 1 species